rnacentral:lncRNA from 1 species
UGGCUGAUCAGAUGUUGGAAGUGAACAGAGUGAAAGGAAAAGAAUCAAAAAGUGGGAGAAGGCACAAAGAGAACAUGUUUUUUUUUGCUAUCACACAGUAGGAUAUAUUAGAAGCACCAAUUAAAAAUGGAACAGGAAGAAGAACUUCAUGAAAUUAAUAUAAAUUCUGAGCAAAUGAUAGGUUUUGCCCUUAAAAUAACCAUCCCAAGCCCACUGUAGAAACGUAACCCCAGUGCCUCACAUCAUCCUCAGUAUCUCUGCUCUUCCUCACCCACAAUGAUGUGGAAGUGAAUGGGGAAAUUUCUGGCCACAAAAGUUGUGGGAAGUGUUUUAAAUGGAUGAGGAAGCUCCACAGGAAUUGCAAUACUGAGGGAAGGAGAAAUGAGAGAGGAGAGAAGACUGGAAAAUAUAUCCCUCAAGAGAGAAACCUGACAAAGUAACAACAAAAACAUGCUGGGGAUUGGGAAGCUGACUUCAGCUGUGAGCAAUGAUGACCAUUUCCAAGGCCUGGCAUUUCCAGUUCAGGCUCAGCUUUCACUCCAGUGUCUGUCUCCCCCUCUGGAAACUGACUCAUCUUUUGCCUUAAAGGCCAGCUUGACUUCUCCUGCCUGUUCACAUGCAUCCACUGACUGGCAGAUGAUAAAAACCUUCUUCCCUCCUCUGCUCACUGACAGAACGAGCAGGCUCCUCUGCACAUCGACAGACCUGAGCUCAGAGGAGGAAAAAGAAAAAGCAGGAACUAUUAUGAGGACACAGCAUAAUGGCACUUGGAGGUUAUUUAUUUCCAAGUUGUGCAGAAUGAGGCCAGUUUGGACACCAAGCUCCCUGAAGAAAGGUCAGUUUGACAGACCUGAUUUCACAGAGCAAAGAAUGGAGGAGUGAGAAGGGUAAAUGGGAAGGGACAUCCUGAGCCAUGACUGAACCACAUCAGAGUCCCCACUACCGACAGCAGGAUGAGAAAAGCUUUAAUUCUGACAAAGAGAUGAAUUUCCCCUCCCUUUGGGGCUGGAGUGGUGCAGUGGGGAGCUCUGGUGUCUCUGUGUGCACACUCAGCCAUGGAAACACGCAGCUUCCUCGCCAAGGGCAGCUUAUCAGCAAGGCAGCCAUGAGAAAAUGAUAAAGGGCAAUAUAAUUACACCUGCUUGUCUCACGGCUGGGUAAAUACUGUGGGACUCAUGCUCUGCUGUGCUGAGUCCCAUAAAAUCCAUCUGAAGCCACCCUGCAGCUCCCAGGUGAAACACUGGGCACUCCUGUGCUGAAUAAAGGCGAUCAAAACAUCUGAGGGAAGAGUUUU